rnacentral:rRNA from 1 species
CCUACGGGAGGCAGCAGUGGGGAAUAUUGGGCAAUGGGCGCAAGCCUGACCCAGCAACGCCGCGUGAAGGAAGAAGGCUUUCGGGUUGUAAACUUCUUUUAAGAGGGAAGAGCAGAAGACGGUACCUCUUGAAUAAGCCACGGCUAACUACGUGCCAGCAGCCGCGGUAAUACGUAGGUGGCAAGCGUUGUCCGGAUUUACUGGGUGUAAAGGGCGUGCAGCCGGGAAGACAAGUCAGAUGUGAAAUCCCGCGGCUCAACCGCGGAACUGCAUUUGAGACUGUUUUUCUUGAGUACCGGAGAGGUCAUCGGAAUUCCUUGUGUAGCGGUGAAAUGCGUAGAUAUAAGGAAGAACACCAGUGGCGAAGGCAGAUGACUGGACGGCAACUGACGGUGAGGCGCGAAAGCGUGGGGAGCAAACAGGAUUAGAUACCCUUGUAGUC